GACGAACGCUGGCGGCGUGCCUAAUACAUGCAAGUCGAACGCUGAAGGAGGAGCUUGCUUCUCUGGAUGAGUUGCGAACGGGUGAGUAACGCGUAGGUAACCUGCCUGGUAGCGGGGGAUAACUAUUGGAAACGAUAGCUAAUACCGCAUAAUAGUAGAUGUCGCAUGACAUUUGCUUAAAAGGUGCAAUUGCAUCACUACCAGAUGGACCUGCGUUGUAUUAGCUAGUUGGUGAGGUAACGGCUCACCAAGGCAACGAUACAUAGCCGACCUGAGAGGGGUGUCGGCCACCCUGGGACUGGGACCCGGCCCCGACCUCUACGGGGGGCCGCCGUAGGGGAUCUUCGGCCAUGGACGGAAGUCUGGCCGAGCCACGCCGCGUGAGUGAAGAAGGUUUUCGGAUCGUAAAGCUCUGUUGUAAGAGAAGAACGAGUGUGAGAGUGGAAAGUUCACACUGUGACGGUAUCUUACCAGAAAGGGACGGCUAACUACGUG
rnacentral:rRNA from 1 species